rnacentral:rRNA from 1 species
UGGUGGGCAGUUUGACUGGGGCGGUCUCCUCCUAAAGAGUAACGGAGGAGUACGAAGGUGCGCUCAGACCGGUCGGAAAUCGGUCGUAGAGUAUAAAGGCAAAAGCGCGCUUGACUGCGAGACAGACACGUCGAGCAGGUACGAAAGUAGGUCUUAGUGAUCCGGUGGUUCUGUAUGGAAGGGCCAUCGCUCAACGGAUAAAAGGUACUCCGGGGAUAACAGGCUGAUACCGCCCAAGAGUUCAUAUCGACGGCGGUGUUUGGCACCUCGAUGUCGGCUCAUCACAUCCUGGGGCUGAAGCCGGUCCCAAGGGUAUGGCUGUUCGCCAUUUAAAGUGGUACGCGAGCUGGGUUUAGAACGUCGUGAGACAGUUCGGUCCCUAUCUGCCGUGGACGUUUGAGAUUUGAGAGGGGCUGCUCCUAGUACGAGAGGACCGGAGUGGACGAACCUCUGGUGUUCCGGUUGUCACGCCAGUGGCAUUGCCGGGUAGCUAUGUUCGGAAAAGAUAACCGCUGAAAGCAUCUAAGCGGGAAACUUGCCUCAAGAUGAGAUCUCACUGGGAACUUGAUUCCCCUGAAGGGCCGUCGAAGACUACGACGUUGAUAGGCUGGGUGUGUAAGCGUUGUGAGGCGUUGAGCUAACCAGUACUAAUUGCCCGUGAGGCUUGACCA